rnacentral:rRNA from 1 species
AGCUCCAAUAGCGUAUAUUAAAGUUGUUGCAGUUGAAAAGCUCGUAGUUGGAUUUUGGGCGCGUGUGCGUCGGCCCAUCGUGAUGAUGUGUGCUGUCGGGCCGUGUCUUUCCUUCGCAUUGCGGCCCGCCGCCAUUAAUUUGGUGGCGGAAUUCGUAUGCGAUCGUUUACUUUGAAAAAAUUAGAGUGUUCAAAGCAGGCAAUUAUUGCCGUUGAAUAUUAUAGCAUGGGAUAAUAGAAUAGGACUUGUUUCUUAUUUUGUUGGUUUUCAAGAAAUAAGUAAUGAUUAACAGGAACAGUUGGGGAUAUUAGUAUUUAUUUGUCAGAGGUGAAAUUCUGGGAUUCUAUAAAGACUAACUUCUGCGAAAGCAUUUAUCAAGGAUGUUUUCAUUAAUCAAGAA